rnacentral:rRNA from 1 species
CGGGUGAGUAAUACAUCGGAACGUGUCUUCUAGUGGGGGAAACUGGCCCGAAAGGGCAGCUAAUACCGCAUGAGACCUGAGGGUGAAAGCGGGGGAUCGCAAGACCUCGCGCUGGAAGAGCGGCCGAUGUCCGAUUAGCUAGUUGGUGAGGUAAAGGCUCACCAAGGCGACGAUCGGUAGCUGGUCUGAGAGGACGACCAGCCACACUGGGACUGAGACACGGCCCAG